CUGGGUUGACAGGAUCACUGAAGACGGAGAAAAUAACACUGGUGAGAGAGGCACUUUGAGAAACUGGGUGUGAAUGUGAAUAGACUUGUUACUGGUUUGGUGAGAGCAAUCAACCAGGGGGUGGGGAGUUGACUGAAUGAUCUCCAGGGCUUUUUUUCUAGUAGGGUCUGAUACAGGAAGAAGUUUGGUAUGUAAUGCAGAUUCAGAGAGAGCACGUGGCUGAGAUAGCUGAGGGCUGGUUGUCGUGGAGGACAGACAGGUAGCAACACAGUCCUUCAGGGAACGGUUGUGGUGACUUCCACAACUGGUAAGUUGUGGAACUUGAACCAGGAUACUUGACUGAGCUUUGAUGUCAACAGAAGGAAUCCAGAGUAUCAGAGUGUAACACUGAGAUAACCUGAAAGGAAAUCAAAGGUGAGUAGCAAAAACAAAAAGCUACUGGAAACUAGCAUAGAGAGGCUUGGAGUACAAUGGAAGGGAAACACUCAGGCACCAAAGAACUGGCAACAGCUUCCUUUUAACUCUGGCUGAUGAGAUAAUGAUCCGCAGGUGUGGGUGAUCAGCACCUGGGACAACGCCCUUCAACUGGAGACGGUCUCCUGGCUCCCUCUGGUGGAUAACUGAAAAAAAGUGCAAACAAAUCCCACAGAGACCAAAACCCCAGAAUCCCAACAAUUUCACCCCAUAUAUAGAUUUUAAAUGUACAAUUGAAUGACAAUAAAAUCUGUGUAUGUAUAUUAUUAUUUACAAAUUAACCAGUGUUAUUUUGGUAGCUGUUUACAUUCCACCCUCAGCUGCUGCCAGUAAUGCAUGUGAUGAGAUGUGUGUGACGACCCCCCGCUGGUGCAUUAUGGCCGUUUAACUGUACUUCCAUUAAGGUCCUGGAUAUGACAGGCGCUUGAUGUCAUGUGUUCACCUGGAUCAUGUAUAUGAGUGCUUGCUCCAUUUAUGGUAGAUGCGCAGAGAUGCCAGAGAUCCACAGGCGGUGUGGAGCAUGUCGGUCGCUUGACACGGUGAGGGACACAGUUGUGUGGGAGCCAGUUCGAAGGUUUGGAUGGACCUCCUAAGCAGGCAGCGUUUGACCUGAUGACACCUGGGAGCAGAAGCUUGGACCUGUGGGGGCCAGCUAGUCCAUGUCUGAACAAGACCUGCAACUGAAGGAUGAUCAAACCAAUGGGUGCACACGCUGGUGCAGCCAUUCCUGGGCAGUAUGCCAGUGGCCUGGGCUACCACCUAUUACCCCUAGACUUCAUUUUAAUAAUAAAUGCUUUUACAGGGCUUAAUAGUGAUUUCUGGUAUUCAUGUUCUUGUUGCAGACUUCUGAGUUGGGCCAUAUCAUCUUUUCGAUUAUUGCUAGAACAGAGACACCCAGAUGCAUUUGUGACAUAUCUGGUGACUUUAAUCAAGCCUCACUCUCUUCUACACUCUAAAAAGAGUAUUUGGGCUGUAGUUCAUGUUAUGGACUUAUUUACAUUAACCUCACUUAAUUCUUAUCCUUUAGUUAUGACAACUUACUUUCAUGAGUUCAAUUAACUUAACAGUCACACAUUUUAUCUCAAACGAACUUUUUACUUUGAGUCUAAGUGAAACAAUUAAGUUUAAUGCAGCUUUACGUCUGACAUCAUUACGUAAGCUUUGCCCGGGACAGAUCCUGCAUCUCUGGUACCGACCGCCAUUUCUUCUGAGUAUCGACUGUCGACGAGCUUCAGAUAAAACAGUAAGUAUGCUGCCCCACCAUAACCAAACAUUAAAUAAACGGUGUGAAAAUAUUUAAAACUCUUUCCACCUUAAAUUUGAAACAGUGAACUGUGUUUAACGUCGAAGUGUCAUCAGUUAUUUGCUCUUAGCACAUUUGCUAGUAGUAAUUAGCCGCGCUGUUCGGCGGGGUUCAAAUCUCAACAUGUUUUAACAUAACUACUCUGAGUUAGACUGAAUGUUUAUUUUGUGUGUGUACUUUUACGCUAAAAAAACUUAACUUGAAAUUACAGAGGUGGGGGUGUUCUAUGCAAAACUAAUUUAAUGUGAUGCAACUCCACUGUGCUAAUCACUGUGAGCUGCAGCCGGUGAAGCCAUUUUUUCCAGUUUUCUCAUGCUGCUUACUGGCGACAUAAUAUAAAACGCAUAAUAUCCUGACAGUGCUAAGAAUCCAUCAGGUGUCAUUUCUCUUAAAAAAACAAUUUGUGUCUGUAGGAACAUUGCGCAGUGUUCUGGCUAGCGGUUGAUUGCCAGGCACUGGGCCGGGCUGAGACGCCCUCGGGCUGGGCUGAGGAUUUCACAGCUUCACUUUCGGAGCUCUGCUGUCACUGCAUUUAGUAGCCUGCCCCACAGACUCCGCCCCGGCUAGAUCGCUUCUUGCCCUGUAUUAUUUCUCUGCAAUUUGCAAUCUACCACAGCGCACAGACAGUUCACAAUGUGCAAGUUUGAUCUCCCUAUGGUCGUCCGCACCCUUGAUUUCACCGGCUGCAGAAAUCAAAAUGACAACCGGCAUGAACGCGAGGAGAAGAAAGAGGAAAAAUUAAGAUCAAAUGAAAAUUUGAGGCAUAAUUUAACAGGAGUGGAUCAUCACUGACAAGUUUUUCCACGCCUCCACUGUUCUGUGCUGUGAGUGUGAGUGUGUGGCUGCGCGCCUACAUUUUGUUCGCUGUGCAGAGAAUGUCAGCUGUUGUUUUUUUCUUUACCUCAGCUGUAUCCACCAGAACCAUCACUAUAACCAGUUUGCUAGCAGGGGUCUGUCAUUAGCACUAGCGGUCGUUCUGCAUCGGGCCUACAUACAUUAACGAAAAUCCUCGCUAAAGCUACCCUGCACCCGAGAAAUGUAACUACAUGUUCACAAGGACUGUGAUUACUGCCUAGGCUUCAGAGGUGCUUUCUGGUUACUUAUGUAGGCACUGCCACUCAAUUAACAAGUGGGAGCAGCUUUUAGCGGUUAGCAUUCGUUUGCUAAUUAGCAUUAGCAUUUCUGGCUAGAACCCUGUUGUGUUAACUUCUCUUACCCACUUCUCUUUCCAGGCCUAGAACCAAGAAUCAUCAAACCAAAUAAGGUUGAAGACAUUGGGAUUGGAAGGGAAUGUGUUCUGAAAGGGCUCAUCACCUUUCUUGGAGAGGAUGCAAAAGACCUUAUUAAGGAAUACUGUAGCAGCAGCGGAGAUGAUGCCCAGAUGGAACUCAAACAACUCACCAUGGCAGUGUUUGUGAUUCGGAAGGAGGGAGAGGGAUUGAAAGAACCCCCAGAAGACAUUGGCAUCGUCAUUGAGGGAGUGGAGGUGUUGCAUGACCUGACUUCAGUUGCCUGACUUCAUGUGCCCUGCUUCUGGGUUUGAUAUAUUCCCUUAACCUGGCUUAUCCAAAGGCUCUGCGCUUCACAUUUGAAGUGUUCCAAAAAAUCUUCAUGCAGCUUGAGCAGCACAAGAUGUCUCCCAAAGUUCAAAAUUUGUUUGGAAGACUUCAGACCUCACAGUAAAGACACUGGCAUGUUGUGCAACAGGACAGAUUAUCUUCUGUCUUCUUUGUUUGAACAGAAGAGCGCCAUGUUUUGGAAGCUUAACACCUCAAGGAACUGCACUUUGUGAACUUCUGUUGGGACAUUGUUCAUAUUAAAGCCACAAGUAAUACAGAGUUUACUGGAUAACAGUUGUGACUGGUAUUUCUGGAGGAUGUUUACUGAUGAGGUUGUGAUGAACAUUAUCAUUUUGGGAGUAGGUCUUUUUUUGUUUUUGACAUUUCAUAAAGUUACAUGGUUCAUCUCUUUGGUUUUGUGUGGGGAAGAAAUACAGGUUAAGGGGGAAAAUUACAGUAGGAAAGUAGUAGGCUACUGCAGUUUGUGGACACUUUCACAGAAUUUUCUGUUUGCAUUUUUUAUUUUUAAUUUGAAUCAACAGAUUUGUGCAGUGUUUUUUGAAGGAGGUUGAAUGGAUCUAGAUCAUAAUGUUUACUAUUCUGUUCUUUUCUGGUGUCAGUUAAAUUAACGGACUUGUAUAAACUAGGCAGCUAUUACACCACAUAUUUGUUUGAAAACUUUUUGCCUAAAUAUUUUUUGGGUAUUGCUCUUGUUUUCAGUGUAAAAAUAGUCACUAGUGUCAUUAUAUUUUAUGUCAAAAACAUGUUCUCAGCAAAUGUUAUGGUUUAAGAGUGUGGAUUUUCUUUUUUAGGAGGACUUGUGUUAAAUCUAAAAAAACAAUUUUUUUUCCUGAGGAAUACUUCUGGAUUCUACAACCUCACACAGGGGUGUCCAAGUCUUGUCCAGGAGAGCUACCAUUGUGCAACUUUCAGAUGGACCCUAUUUCAAUACCACCUGAAGCUAAUUUCUGAAUUCACACACCAGCAGACAUUCAGCUCAGCAGAGGCGUUGUAAUGAGCAGUUCAUUUGAUUCAGAUGUAUUGGAGAUGGGAUGCAUCUGAAAGUUGCAGAAUGAUGGCUCUCCAGAACUGGACUUGGGCACCUCUGAUCUAGCAGGUCGCUGACCAAAAAGGUUGAAGUAUUCAAAAG